rnacentral:rRNA from 1 species
UCUGUCAAGUCGGAUGUGAAAUCCCCGGGCUCAACCUGGGAACUGCAUUCGAAACUGGCAGGCUAGAGUCUUGUAGAGGGGGGUAGAAUUCCAGGUGUAGCGGUGAAAUGCGUAGAGAUCUGGAGGAAUACCGGUGGCGAAGGCGGCCCCCUGGACAAAGACUGACGCUCAGGUGCGAAAGCGUGGGGAGCAAACAGGAUUAGAUACCCUGGUAGUCCACGCCGUAAACGAUGUCGACUUGGAGGUUGUGCCCUUGAGGCGUGGCUUCCGGAGCUAACGCGUUAAGUCGACCGCCUGGGGAGUACGGCCGCAAGGUUAAAACUCAAAUGAAUUGACGGGGGCCCGCACAAGCGGUGGAGCAUGUGGUUUAAUUCGAUGCAACGCGAAGAACCUUACCUA